rnacentral:lncRNA from 1 species
AACAUCCUUCAAUUCUGCUCUUUCCUGGAAUCUCAGGGCCAAGUGUAUAGGUAAUUCCCUUUACCCUCAAAUACACGCUAAUAAUGCUCUGACUUUGCAUUCCCUUUGUGUUCUGGCAUAGAAGGGUUUUCUUUCUUGUUCGGAGUUUGGCUUUGUUUUAUAAAAUGGUUUUUGUCGUUAGGAUCUAUUCUGCAUUUCUCUAUUUUUGCAGUGGGGAGAGGGCCAUUGGCUCAAUUCAUCACUUUCUGCUCCCAGAAAGUAGAAAUAUUCCAGGGCUGCACUGUGCAGUCCAGUAGCGACUGGUGGUAAGAGGCUCUGUACCUUGAAUUUAAAUAAUUAACAUGAAACAAAAUGAAAACUUCUGUUCCUCCAUGACCCUAGCAACAGUCACGCAUGGCUGUGGCUACUGCACUGGGCAACGCAGAUAUAGCACAUUCCAUCACUGUGGAAACUCUGUUGGAGAGCUCUGCCCCGGAAUGCCCGAGAAAAUCCAACGAGGAAGUCACGAGGAGGCAAGUUUGGAUUCUCCAUGAAAGGAACCUACUGCACAGGGGCAGUGGACACAACAUGGUGGAUGACGCCCUGCCAGGGGGCUGCGGGGAGGUUCUUGUUUGAGUGGAGGUAGUGCUCGGUGGUUUGAGAGGCUCCUUCAGGAAAUACCAGCAUGGGGGAAGUGGGCUGUAUGUACUCUUGGUAGCUCCAAGUCCUCAAUGGUGGCCAAAGAUGGAGCGAGGAGACCAGAGAAGGAAGUGAGCAGCUGCCUGGCCCUCCUCUCCUCCUGGACACACAGUCAGGAAUCCAAAGAGCCCGGAUGCAAAACCCGGCCGUCACAUUUGAAGGCACAUGCUCUUCGCUCCUGUUCACUCCGGCCUAUUUGCACAUCCUGCCAUGGACAGUGCACUCUCAGGCUUCCCCACGUCUGCUUCCAGAUGUUGAUCCCGGGACUCCUGGUCUGUGCUGGCCCACUUGCUGUCCUUCCAGUCUCCAUGAGGAUGUCCCUCCCCCAGGCGGGGGAAGACCCAGAGACCUGCCCACCCCCUCCACUCUCUUCCCCUCCCUCCCCUCCUUCUUCCCUCUCCUCGUCUUCCUUCUCCAUUCUUUCCUUCCUAGUCCUUUCUCAAGAUCUCAGUACAGAGUUGGGUUAAUCACAUUCUCCAGUUCCUCACAUAAAAUACAAGGUCUUCUUUUCUAAAAAAAAAGUAAAAUAAAAAGAUUUAAUACUUUUCUUGGGUCUUUAAA